GACGCGACCUCAGCUCAGGCGGGGCUACCCGCUGAGUUUAAGCAUAUCAAUAAAGCGGAGGAAAAGAAA
rnacentral:rRNA from 1 species